AACGAACGCUGGCGGCAUGCCUAACACAUGCAAGUCGAACGAGACCUUCGGGUCUAGUGGCGCACGGGUGCGUAACGCGUGGGAAUCUGCCCUUAGGUUCGGAAUAACUUCGGGAAACUGAAGCUAAUACCGGAUGAUGACGUAAGUCCAAAGAUUUAUCGCCUAAGGAUGAGCCCGCGUUGGAUUAGCUAGUUGGUGAGGUAAAGGCUCACCAAGGCGACGAUCCAUAGCUGGUCUGAGAGGAUGAUCAGCCACACUGGGACUGAGACACGGCCCAGACUCCUACGGGAGGCAGCAGUGGGGAA
rnacentral:rRNA from 1 species